rnacentral:rRNA from 1 species
CUAUGGCAAUACCACCCUGACCAGUGCCCAAUCUUGUCUGAUCUCUGAAGUUAAGCAGGGUCAGGCCUGGUUAGUACUGGGAUAAGAGAUUUGCAACCUAAAUGGAAAUUUCAAAGC